UCCGUCGCGCGUCGCCAGGUUCGACGUGAGGAAAGUCCGGGCAACGCAGAGCGCCAUAUUACCUAACGGGUAGCUGUCGGAAUAAAUAACGGCAGAGUAGCGUGACAGAAAAUAACCGCCGACCCGACCCGCGAGGGCCGCACGGCAAGGGUGAAAAGGUGAGGCAAGAGCUCACCGGGGCCGAUGGCGACAUUGGCUGCCGCACGCCUUAUGGGUUGCAAGGUCAAGUAUACCGGCAAUUAAGGGUUGCUCGCCCGCUGCCGGGGGGUAGACCGCGAAGAUAAAUGACGGGCCGUCACGGCCGUUCGCCUGCGGGCGAUAACAGCCGCCGACGACAUAACCCGGCUUACAACCCGGCCG
rnacentral:RNase_P_RNA from 1 species